rnacentral:rRNA from 1 species
UACGUAGGGUCCGAGCGUUGUCCGGAAUUAUUGGGCGUAAAGAGCUCGUAGGCGGUUUGUCACGUCUGCUGUGAAAACUGGAGGCUCAACCUCCAGCCUGCAGUGGGUACGGGCAGACUAGAGUGCGGUAGGGGAGAUUGGAAUUCCUGGUGUAGCGGUGGAAUGCGCAGAUAUCAGGAGGAACACCGGUGGCGAAGGCAGAUCUCUGGGCCGUAACUGACGCUGAGGAGCGAAAGCCUGGGGAGCGAACAGG